rnacentral:rRNA from 2 species
GGACGAACGCUGGCGGCGUGCCUAAUACAUGCAAGUCGAACGAACUCUGGUAUUGAUUGGUACUUGUAUCAUGAUUUACAUUUGAGUGAGUGGCGAACUGGUGAGUAACACGUGGGAAACUUGCCCAGAAGCGGGGGAUAACACCUGGAAACAGAUGCUAAUACCGCAUAACAACUUGGACCGCAUGGUCCGAGCUUGAAAGRUGGYUUCGGCUAUCACUUCUGGAUAGUCCCGCGGCGCAUUAGCUAGAUGGUGAGGUAACGGCUCACCAUGGCAAUGAUGCGUAGCCGACCUGAGAGGGUAAUCGGCCACAUUGGGACUGAGACACGGCCCAAACUCCUACGGGAGGCAGCAGUAGGGAAUCUUCCACAAUGGACGAAAGUCUGAUGGAGCAACGCCGCGUGAGUGAAGAAGGGUUUCGGCUCGUAAAACUCUGUUGUUAAAGAAGAACAUAUCUGAGAGUAACUGUUCAGGUAUUGACGGUAUUUAACCAGAAAGCCACGGCUAACUACGUGCCAGCAGCCGCGGUAAUACGUAGGUGGCAAGCGUUGUCCGGAUUUAUUGGGCGUAAAGCGAGCGCAGGCGGUUUUUUAAGUCUGAUGUGAAAGCCUUCGGCUCAACCGAAGAAGUGCAUCGGAAACUGGGAAACUUGAGUGCAGAAGAGGACAGUGGAACUCCAUGUGUAGCGGUGAAAUGCGUAGAUAUAUGGAAGAACACCAGUGGCGAAGGCGGCUGUCUGGUCUGUAACUGACGCUGAGGCUCGAAAGUAUGGGUAGCAAACA